GGGUAUAGCUUAGUGGUAGAGUGCGUGUUUAGCAUGCACAAGGUCCAGGGUUCAAUCCCUGGUACCGCCA
rnacentral:tRNA from 1 species